rnacentral:rRNA from 1 species
AGGUCAAGCUACAAAGGUCGCAUGGUGAAUGCCUUGGCAUCAGGAGCCGAUGAAGGACGUGAUAAGCUGCGAUAAGCUUCGGGUAGGCGCACAUAGCCUGAGAUCCGAAGAUCUCCGAAUGAGGAAACUCACAUGGGAAACCCCAUGUAUCAUUAAGUGAAUACAUAGCUUAAUGAAGGUAACCCAGGGAACUGAAACAUCUAAGUACCUGGAGGAAGAGAAAGAAAAAUCGAUUUUCUUAGUAGCGGCGAGCGAAAGGGAAAGAGCCCAAACCGGAAACUUGUUUCCGGGGUUGUGGACAUAGCAUUAAAGUGGAGGCUAUUGUAACUGAAGAGAACUGGAAAGUUCCACCGUAGAAGGUAAUAGUCCUGUAAGUGAAACGAGAAGACCACGAGUUAUGAUCCAGAGUACCACGAGACACGUGAAACCUUGUGGGAAGCAGGGAGGACCACCUCCCAAGGCUAAAUACUACCUGAUGACCGAUAGUGAAGCAGUACCGUGAGGGAAAGGUGAAAAGAACCCCGGGAGGGGAGUGAAAUAGAACCUGAAACCGUGUGCCUACAACCGCUCAGAGCCCCUUAUGAGGGUGAUGAGGUGCUUUUUGUAGAACGAGCCAACGAGUUACGGUAUGUAGCAAGGUUAAGUACUUAAGGUACGGAGCCGAAGGGAAACCGAGUCUGAAUAGGGCGACUAGUUG